rnacentral:rRNA from 1 species
AGAGUUUGAUCAUGGCUCAGGACGAACGCUGGCGGCGUGCUUAACACAUGCAAGUCGAACGCUGAAGCCCAGCUUGCUGGGUGGAUGAGUGGCGAACGGGUGAGUAACACGUGGGUAAUCUGCCCCGUACUCCGGGAUAAGCCCGGGAAACUGGGUCUAAUACCGGAUAGGACACGCUAUCGCAUGGUGGUGUGUGGAAAGCUCCGGCGGUACGGGAUGAGCCCGCGGCCUAUCAGCUUGUUGGUGGGGUGAUGGCCUACCAAGGCGACGACGGGUAGCCGGCCUGAGAGGGUGAUCGGCCACACUGGGACUGAGACACGGCCCAGACUCCUACGGGAGGCAGCAGUGGGGAAUAUUGCACAAUGGGCGCAAGCCUGAUGCAGCGACGCCGCGUGGGGGAUGACGGCCUUCGGGUUGUAAACCCCUUUCGCCCGGGACGAAGCGUAAGUGACGGUACCGGGAGAAGAAGCACCGGCCAACUACGUGCCAGCAGCCGCGGUAAUACGCAGGGUGCAAGCGUUGUCCGGAAUUAUUGGGCGUAAAGAGCUCGUAGGCGGUGUGUCACGUCUGCCGUGAAAACCUGCGGCUUAACCGUGGGCGUGCGGUGGAUACGGGCAUCACUUGAGUUCGGUAGGGGAGACUGGAAUUCCUGGUGUAGCGGUGGAAUGCGC